rnacentral:lncRNA from 1 species
UUUUUUUUUUGUGCUGCUGUUGCCUGGUUUUGUGAAUAAAGUUUUAUUGGAAUACAGCCAUGCCCAUUAGUUUACAUAUUGUCAAUAGUUGCUGCAUGUAACAGAGUUGAGUAGCAACAGAGACCUUAUGACCUGCAAAGCCUAAAAUAUUUACCAUCUGGCCCUUUGCAUCAAGUGCAGUGACCCCGAUCUAAAGCAAACCCCCAUCAUUUUACAGAUUAGAAAGCCCAGAGUGUCUUCUACAAGGUCACACUGUGGCAGAAUUCCCCGUUCCGGCUCUUUCACCUCUGCUAUGCUGCCUCGGCACAUGUGCUGAGUAAAACUUUAUUGACAAGACCAGGCAACAGUAGCAGGAAAAAGAAAAACGAGCUGUGGUUUGGCGACCCCUGAUUUCAAUCAUUCAUACCCCUUCUUUACUACUUUGCCACUUAGCCACAAUGUGACCUUGAGCAACCUCCUUGACCUCUCUGUGCCUGUGUUCUCACCUGUGAACCGAGAACAGGACAGACUCCUGCAGAUGCCAGGAUGAAGUGAAGGCUGAGAAUGGCGCCGGCCCCACAUGAGCACUACACAAGCCUCAGCUGUUGUUACCCCAUCCCCCCAACAUAAAGGCAGUGUCCUUCUGCACCCCGACAGGCUUGGGCCAUCACCCGCUGCCCAGGAGGCCAGGGUAUUUCAGCACAAGCCCCGGGCCAAGGCCUUCUGGAUCGUCAGCAAAGUAAAAGGGGCCCUGCAAUCUAAUUAUAGCAUUGCUAGAAGCCAGGGCCGCAUUCCCCUCCAGCUUCCUUAAUAAGCCCCACUUCCCCAUAAUUGCAGAUUUCAUGGAAGCGGUCCACUGGGGCCACCAUGUCCCAUCCUUGGGCUUAGGCCAAUAGCAGACAUUUUGUUGUGCAGAUUUCUGGAUAGCAGCUGCUCCUGCCUUUCCUGGAAACUGUCAGGAGCCCUCCCUUCUCCUGGUCCCCAAAAAGAUUCCAGGCGAUAACAUCGCUGCCACCUUGUACACCUGCAGUUUACAAAGCACUUUCGCAGGUGGGAGCUGAGUCACUAGGCAGGGGCUGUCACUGCCAUGGCACAGAUGAGGAAACUGAGGCUCCAGGAAAGGAGGGGAGCAGCCCGUGGCCGAUGUUCCAGAAAGAAGGCAGUCCCUUUUCCCAGGCUGUGGCUCCACAGUCAAAGACCCUCCUCUCCUUCCCCUCUGGCUUUGUGGAAGAGGACAGGAAGCUGGAUAUGUGGCAGUCCGUGCAAGGGAUAGCAGGAAACACUGCGUCCCAUGAACGAUUCUCAGACUGCAUUCCCCAGAGAUGCUGAGAUGUGGGGCUGAGGAGUCCGGCACCCUUAACCCCUCCACCUCCCAGGAUUUUAUAUUCCUAGGCUCAAUUGCCCAACCCUCAUAGUGUAAGCAUCUCACUGCAGUCUUUGUGAGCUGCGAGGUAUUUUGUGAACCCUGAACACAAGUCAACAACUUCACCCAAUGCUCAACCAAAGAACAGCAGCUGCCCCAGUGCUGGGGGACAGCCUGCUGUGUUCGCCUCCCAGAGCAACAGUGUAUAUAGGUCAGGGAAUGUGUUGGUUCCUGUGACAGACCCAGACAUUAGUGGGCUUAAAUGAGAUGGAGGUGGAUUUCUGUCACAUGACAGUUGGAAGGUGAACAGGCCUGGUCUGACAGCAGCAGGGGCCCAGCCCCUCUGAACUGUCACUCUGACACGCCUCCAUGGCCCAGACAGCACCCCGCUGUGCUGCCAUCACCCAGUCACUGGGAGUGGGGAGGAAAAAGAGGGCUUGCCCUGCCCUUCAAGGACACAGCCUGUGCAUUCUCAUGUCACUUUGACCAGAAUAUGGUCACCUGGUUGAGCCUAGCUGCAAGAGAUGCUGGGAAAUGGUCUUUCUCUUGGGCAGCCAUAUGCUCCCCAAAACAUACAGCCCCUCCUUCUACAGGAAGCGGGAAAACAAAUGCUGGGGGCAGCCAGCAGCCUCAGCCACUGAUCGUUGGGUGCUGCCUGGGGUCUUCCCAGGGCAUUUUCAAGGUCAAUUUGACUGUCCUUGAUUUCCACCUUUUGAGCUGACGUUAGAACCUAACCCCACAUAAGCAUUGUUUAAAGACUCAUGUAUCACAGCCGUAAAAAAGAAUGAGUUCAUGUCCUUUGCAGGGACAUGGAUGAAGCUGGAAACCAGCAUUCUCAGCCAAAUAACACAGGAACAGAAAACCAAACACCACAUGUUCUCACUCAUAAGUGGGAGUUGACCAAUGAGGACACAUGGACACAGGGAAGGGAACAUCACACACCGGGACCUGUUGGGGGUGGAGGGCUAAGGGAGGGAUAGCAUUAGGAGAAAUACCUAAUGUAGAUGGUGGGUUGAUGGGUGCAGCAAACCACCAUGGCACAUGUAUGCCUAUGUGACAAACCUGCACUUUCUGCAUAUGUAUCC